ACUUACCUCAUCUGCUCCAUGUGCCUGAAGUUCCUUGUAGAAUUUCAAAGAAAUACUGACCAUCACUUUCGUUUUGUCUCCAUUAGGAUUUGAAAUAUGAUAAAGGACGCCAUCAAAAUCUGUGAGAAAAAGCAAAAAAGAUUGCUCAUUCUAGAAACAGGAGCAAUCUCCCAGUACCUUCCACAGGGCUGGCCACGAGGAGACCUCUGAUAAGAGAGAUGCUCUCUUCGGAAGCCCCCCUCCCCCAAUUCUUUCAACUGCUGCCUGGUAUUGAGCUCUGCUAAGACCCAUCAAUGUUUAUGACAAGCACACUAGCCAUCCUUGCUGGCCUCUGUAACCACUUCAGCGCUGCCUCACCUUAAAGGGAAGACCUGGAAACACGCUUGCUCAGAGAUAAAAAUCUGUAACCUUACAAAAGAGACAGAGCAGACAAUAUAUUCCUCGUUAAGUAGCGUGUUCAUGCUUUCAACAUCUGUGAACCACAAGCUCAUUACAAAUGCUUAGAAUUAAAGAGGAGAAUGAAUGAAUUCCUCCUCUCCCAAUCUUCUUCCUUCCGUGGAUCUGCAAGCACUUUCCUAUUUCUAGUUCCUAGUUCGCAGAAAACAGCCUACACUUAUUUCCUAACUUCGAAACCAAAAUGUGAAGCCCCAUCCUCACCAAUGAGGAAAUGAGGCAAAGGAAUGGCCACAGGCCAUCAUAAAUUAGAACCCGAAACCCAAUUCCUCUGUUCAGGUUUUAAAUAUACUAGAGAGGCAAAGUGGCUUUAAGGGAGGAGUUUGCUUUUUUGUGUGUUUGACAGCGAAGGCUUGAAAUACGUCCCACAUAUUAAGAUGCUGAUGUUAUAAAUGGUUAUCUUAAGAACUUUACAGGUCCGGGAGCAGAAGCAGCUAUUGACCUAGCCAGCAUUACUUACAGAAGAAAUCAAAGACCAGAGGUCUUGGAUAAGAAUUUAAGACACACACCAAUAAAUAAAUAAAUAAAUAAAUA